GACAGGGGGUGCAAACGUUGCUCGGAAUUACUGGGCGUAAAGCGCGUGUAGGCGGGCCUGCAAGUCGGACGUGAAAUCCCUGAGCUCAACUCAGGAACUGCAUCCGAAACUGCGGGCCUGGAGUGGUGGAGAGGGAAGCAGAAUUCCUGGUGUAGAGGUGAAAUUCGUAGAUAUCAGGAGGAACACCGGUGGCGAAGGCGGCUUCCUGGACACUUACUGACGCUGAGACGCGAAAGCGUGGGGAGCAAACAGG
rnacentral:rRNA from 1 species